rnacentral:lncRNA from 1 species
GUGCGUUGGCUAUUCAUAGCGAGGCUAUUUAGUUUGACUACACAUUCUCUUGAUCCCUAGCCAUUCGGGUUCUUACUAUGUAUAUUGACUAUUGUAGGUUCAGGUUCGCUGUUUGGAGUAGAAUGCACCUUGAUAGAAUCUAUCGACCUUGGUAGAAAAGGAGUAGUCCUAUGCAAUUUGCAAGACUAAGUUCAAGAAAUUUCUGACCAGAGCAAGUGUGAAUACUGAAAAAGAGUUUCUACAGGAUUCAUAGAUGAACUCGAGUCGAGCUAAUCUGGCAUAUGACUGACGAUGGAGUUUGA